GCCAGGUCUGGCCCUCGCGGGGUUGCCGGAAGGAGGGUCCGGGCGGGAGAACGUCCGCCCACGCACAGUGUAAACAGUUCCGGUCGCUUGAGGGAUCCCCGCGGCUUGUUUUGGUGACUGCGCGCGGAAGGUGAAUAUGUAAGAAAUGACGAUCCAUUCCUGCGUGGAAGGCCAGCGCUCCAUCUUCACUAACACGAUAUAGUUGAAGAGCAUCAAGUAUCCGAUGUACGCCAGCUGUAAGGAAACACAAUACAGUGUUCUGGCUACGGAGACCCGGGAGCCCGGCCCUUGGGCAAGGCCGCCGCAUGGCAGAACAGAGCAAGGUCAGCAAGCAGGACUCAGAAUUCACAACAGAAUGAACUUCAAGGCUUUAAACUAUUCAAAGAAUUUAAGAAAAUGACUAUAAUAUUUGAAAUAAUGUGAUGUGCUAUCUUCCUUUUGUCCCUUACAUGUGUCCCUGGGUCCAGUACUUUGCCUUUACUUCUGUGCCAUGAUGCAUCCUUUUUGUUUGGCUAUUACUGUUUCUUGUGUCUUUCUGGCUAAAAAGGGGACCUCUUCUCUCGGUGCUACUCUUGUUCAUGCAUAAGCCUCAGGUUCUUUUUUUUUUUCUUUUUAAGUUUAUUUGUUUAUUUUGGGAGAGAGAGAGAAAAUGAGUAGGGGAUGGGCAGAGACAGAAGGAGAGAGAGAAUCCCAAAGAGGGGGGGCUGGAUCCGAGGACUGUGAAAUCACAACCUGAGCUGAAAUCAAGUGUCAGACACUCAACCGACUGAGCCACCCAGGCGCCCGGAGCCUCAGGUUCUUGAACUAGGGCACACGGUGGAUUUGUGCCUACUGAAUGCCAGGUAGGUGAAAUGUCUGUAGGAAGGAAAGGAAGGCACAUACUAUACUUGUAAACUGGUCAAACCAACAUAAAAAUAGACUGAAUUUUA